GAUGAACGCUGGCGGCGUGCCUAAUACAUGCAAGUCGAGCGAACGGACGAGAAGCUUGCUUCUCUGAUGUUAGCGGCGGACGGGUGAGAAACACGUGGAUAACCUACCUAUAAGACUGGGAUAACUUCGGGAAACCGGAGCUAAUACCGGAUGAUAUUUUGAACCGCAUGGUUCAAAAGUGAAAGACGGUCUUGCUGUCACUUAUAGAUGGAUCCGCGCUGCAUUAGCUAGUUGGUAAGGUAACGGCUUACCAAGGCAACGAUGCAUAGCCGACCUGAGAGGGUGAUCGGCCACACUGGAACUGAGACACGGUCCAGACUCCUACGGGAGGCAGCAGUAGGGAAUCUUCCGCAAUGGGCGAAAGCCUGACGGAGCAACGCCGCGUGAGAGAUGAAGGUCUUCGGAUCGUAAAACUCUGUUAUUAGGGAAGAACAUAUGUGUAAGUAACUGUGCACAUCUUGACGGUACCUAAUCAGAAAGCCACGGCUAACUACGUG
rnacentral:rRNA from 1 species